UUAUGUAAUUAUCUUCUUUUUUGAAGUAACUCUGUAAUAUAUAAGAUAAGAAGAAAUAAUUGCAGCGUGAACACUGCCUUUUGAGCAAUGUAAAGUGUUUGUGCAAGGCACUGCACUAAGCAAUUUUCAAGGCAAAAGUGAGUAAAUGGAAAUUCAGAAACAAAAUCUGUGUACAAUAUAAUUGUUCAUCUUAGUAAUUAUAUUUCAAAAGGAAUUUUAUGAAUAAUACCUUUUCUGCCCUACAAAAUUAAAGCUUUUAUUGAUACAUUAAAUUUUGGGAAUAGCUCUGUGGCUAACAAAUUAAAAUGAAUGAAAUAUUUGUGCUGGGAUAAUUAAAAGAGGAAUAUCAUUUGAAACUGUACUGUAUUGUACUAAUAUACAGUUGAGAUUUGGCCACGUAGGCAUGGGAAGGAACAUCUAAAAUGUGUAUAACAAAACAAAUAAUAAUAUGGUACGGUGGAUUCUUGUGAAAGCUUUUUCUGAUGAUUGAAAAAUAAUUUCUCUCUAUUUUGGCCUUAAGAAAACAAUUCACCUACUUAGGUUCUGAUUGUAUUAAUUGCAUUGUAAGUGAAUUAUUUCCUGCAGAAAUCUAUUACAUCAAAAUAGUCAACAUUCAUUUACGACAAGUUGGAGGUGGCUGUGUCAUCAUUAUUUAUUAGCAUCUAGAAGCUGUUACAUCAUGGAGUGCAAAGAAGAAUUUAAAGUUUUGAUUAAGGCUAGAAAUGAUAGAAGUUAAUGUUUCCCAAAUUAAUUCAUCAAUAUAUAAGUGCUAAAAAAGUUCUAAAAUUAACAUAUACCUAAAAUUAAGAUGAACCUAAUAUAACCAAUAACCAGAUAAUUGUUUACCAACACUCCCAUUUUUAGAGAAGCUAUAUAAUAAUAAUAAUUACCAAAUUCUAAUUACCUACAUAUUUAUUAAUUCCUAUCCUUGACAUUGUCAUGAUGAGAUUUAAU